CCAAGGAGUCUAACACGUGCGCAAGUCGUAGGGUUUCCCUCGAAGCCCGAAGGCGCAAUGAAAGUGAACCUUAGGCGGGAUCCCCGUAACAGACUUUACGGUCUGCCCACGGGGCGCACCGCCGGCCCGUCUCGUUUGGUCGGCCCGUCGUUUCACCGCGGCGUGCCGACGGAGGCGGAGCGAGAGCGUACACGUUAGGACCCGAAAGACGGUGAACUAUUCCCGGACAGGACGAAGCCGGAGGAAACUCCGGUGGAGGUCCGUAGCGAUUCUGACGUGCAAAUCGAUCGUCGGAUCCGGGUAUA
rnacentral:rRNA from 1 species